rnacentral:rRNA from 1 species
UGCAAGUCGAGCGAGAAAGCACUUCGGUGUGAGUACAGCGGCGGACGGGUGAGUAACGCGUAGGAAUCUACCCGGUAGUGGGGGACAACUUGGGGAAACUCAAGCUAAUACCGCAUACGCCCCAAGGGGGAAAGCGGGGGAUCUUCGGACCUCGCGCUAUCGGAUGAGCCUGCGUAGGAUUAGCUAGUUGGUGGGGUAAAAGCUCACCAAGGCGACGAUCCUUAGCUGGUCUGAGAGGAUGAUCAGCCACACUGGGACUGAGACACGGCCCAGACUCCUACGGGAGGCAGCAGUGGGGAAUAUUGCGCAAUGGGCGAAAGCCUGACGCAGCCAUGCCGCGUGUGUGAAGAAGGCCCUAGGGUUGUAAAGCACUUUCAAUUGGGAAGAAAAGCUGUUGCUUAAUAAGUAACAGCCCUGACAUUACCUUUAGAAGAAGCACCGGCUAACUCCGUGCCAGCAGCCGCGGUAAUACGGAGGGUGCGAGCGUUAAUCGGAAUUACUGGGCGUAAAGCGCGCGUAGGCGGUUUGUUAAGUCGGAUGUGAAAGCCCCGGGCUCAACCUGGGAACUGCAUUCGAUACUGGCCGACUAGAGUACGAGAGAGGGAGGUAGAAUUCCACGUGUAGCGGUGAAAUGCGUAGAUAUGUGGAGGAAUACCGGUGGCGAAGGCGGCCUCCUGGCUCGAUACUGACGCUGAGGUGCGAA